rnacentral:pre_miRNA from 1 species
UUUUAUACAAAUUGGAAUGAUUUGAAAUUUGGAGCGCGUGUUCAUCAAAAAUAGGCGAAUCUAUGAAAAAUAUCAAAAAAAUAUCUUACAUAAAAUAAAUUGACCAAAAUACCCCAAAAAAGUUUCAAGCGUAUUUUGGUCAAUUUUUUUUUGCGAAUUAUUUUUUUUUAUAUUUUUAUUAGGUGCGCCUCACUAAGAUGUACACACACUCCAAAUUUCAAAUCAUUCCGAUUUUUACAAAG